rnacentral:rRNA from 1 species
UACGUAGGGGGCAAGCGUUAUCCGGAUUUACUGGGUGUAAAGGGAGCGCAGACGGCCAAGCAAGUCUGAAGUGAAAUGCAUGGGCUCAACCCAUGAAUUGCUUUGGGAACUGUUAGGCUUGAGUGUCGGAGAGGUAAGCGGAAUUCCUAGUGUAGCGGUGAAAUGCGUAGAUAUUAGGAGGAACACCGGAGGCGAAGGCGGCUUACUGGACGACAACUGACGUUGAGGCUCGAAGGCGUGGGGAGCAA